rnacentral:rRNA from 1 species
CGCUAACUAAGCAUAUAAUUAAGCGAAGGAAAAGAAACUAACCAGGAUUCCCCUAGUAGCGGCGAGCGAAGCGGGAAAAGCCCAAAAUGAAAAGCCUGCUUGCAGGCGUUGUAUUUGGGCGCCCUUGGUGUGGUCAGUGCGGGCAAGUCGUAUGGAAUUACGCGCCGUGGAGGGUGAUAGCCCCGUCCAACCCGCACAGGACAUGCCGUACGAGGGCGUCUCAAACGAGUCGGGUAGCUUGGGAAUGCUGCUCUAAUUGGUGGUAAAUCUCAUCAAAGGCUAAAUAAUGACCGGAGACCGAUAGCGAACAAGUACCGUGAGGGAAAGAUGACAAGCACUUUGAAAAGAGGGUGAAAAGAGCCUGAAACCGUCACGGGGGAAGCGGAUUGCGUUGGAUUGAUGGGCGCCUGUGUGUUCAGCCAUUUUCUUUUGGUGCAUUGACAUAGGUUUUUAGCUUAUCCGCCGUGGGUUUUCGGCGGUCGAUUUUGGGCCGCCGGGGCUGAGGGCUCCCUUUUAUUAGGUGAGGACCGGUGGAGCGACGACGCGAUACGACCCGUCUUGAAACACGGACCAAGGAGUCUAGCGCGGGUGCGAGUCAAAGGGUGCAAGCCCGUGGGCAAAGUGAAAGCGAGUUUUUUUAAAACGAGCAGUUUGAGGCGGCAUGAUGAUCGUUGAUCUCAAGACCGACCUAGAGCAGUUGCGCUGGGACCCGAAAGAUGGUGAACUAUGCCGGAGUAGGGCAAAGCCAGAGGAAACUCUGGUGGAGGCUCGUAGCGGUGCUGACGUGCAAAUCGCUCGUCCAACUUGGGUAUAGGGGCGAAAGACUAAUCGAACCAUCUAGUAGCUGGUUCCCUCCGAAGUUCCU